rnacentral:rRNA from 1 species
AGCGAACGCUGGCGGCAGGCCUAACACAUGCAAGUCGAGCGCCCAGCAAUGGGAGCGGCAGACGGGUGAGUAACACGUGGGGAUCUACCCAAUGGUACGGAAUAACCCAGGGAAACUUGGAUUAAUACCGUAUGUGCCCUUCGGGGGAAAGAUUUAUCGCCAUUGGAUGAACCCGCGUCGGAUUAGCUAGUUGGUGAGGUAAAGGCUCACCAAGGCGACGAUCCGUAGCUGGUCUGAGAGGAUGAUCAGCCACACUGGGACUGAGACACGGCCCAGACUCCUACGGGAGGCAGCAGUGGGGAAUAUUGGACAAUGGGCGCAAGCCUGAUCCAGCCAUGCCGCGUGAGUGAUGAAGGCCUUAGGGUUGUAAGGCUCUUUCGCCGGUGAAGAUAAUGACGGUAACCGGAGAAGAAGCCCCGGCUAACUUCGUGCCAGCCGCCGCAGUAA